CUGGCUGUCAAGAGACACUACAUGGCUUCAAGAGGCUGGAGGUUUAGGGAACGGAAGGUGGCCUGGCAGGAAGAUGAGGCUGAGAUAAUCUGUUCCUGAUGCAGGGAAUGAACAGCUGAUUCCAUUCUGUUGCCCGGGGGAGGUGAGACACAGGAAUUGCAAAACAUCAGUCAGAUAAAUAAGUGGCUCCAUUGGGAUCAUUUCCCAACCUUCCAGAACAAACAAGGAGAUAGAUGGGUCUGGCUUUAAGAAGAGGCAGCAUCCAGUGAUGGGGAAUGCCCAGCGCAUGGUGGAGAAACAGAGGCACGGGGCAGAAGUAACUUACUCCAAAUCACCAGCUGAGAUAAGCAGAAAGAAGGAGUCUAUCAAGUUCUAAGGCUGGGCUCUUUCCACUCCGACACAAAUCUGCCAAGAAUGAGGGUCAAACUGCAAGCACGGAGUCACAGGCGUUGUCUGUAGACGGUGCUGGGUGUGACAGUCAGUCAUUCCAGCCUCCACUCCAGAGUUGAGUGAGCUGAAGCCCCAGCCCUGGCUGAACCAGCUUUUGUCUUCCACAAAUGCACUCGGCCGGGCAGGCGGCCCUGGAGGGCAUCAAAGGCCCCGCUGGCCGCAGACACAAGAGUACAGCGGUGCCAAGGCAUCUCCCCUGCCAGCUACCCACCACCCGCCAUGCAGCCUGGGAGAGUCACAAAGAGGAGGUGCCCGGUCUUACAACCGUUCCAGGUGUGACUUCACCCUCAGCCAUGAGCUCUGUUCCAAACCGGUCCAGGUCUGCCAAGCCCAGGUGGGGUGGGCAGGGGCUGAAGUCCAAGCUGCGUCUGGACCAGUGAUGGUAGGAAGAUCGCUGGCAAUUCGAUAGGCCUGGGGAACUUGACCGCUGCCCGUGAUGAAAGAGGGCAAAAUAGGUUAGUGGCGAGGGCACUGCCACAAAUCCACAGCGAAGAGACCCUUGCUACUGCAACCCAGUGUUCAUUUACUGAACACCUGCUCCAGGCCUGGCCUUGGAGCUGGGCAGAGGGAAAUGUCCGCUUGUUGACAUUCCCCUGGAAUGAAUGACACGGCCCUGGCCUGAGGAGUAGACAAGCUGAGGGCGGCCACGUGGAAAGCCCUUAAACGUGAGAAAUGGGACCACAGAGGAAGCGGGGUUUGUUCAUUCACUCAGUGACCGCCAACAGAGGCCCACCUUGCAGCAGGUGCCGGGAGAUGCUUUCAAAUUUACAAAGAGCAGAGGACCCCUGAUUGUCCCCUGGGUGUUUAACAGGAAUAAUAGGGGCGGGAGCCUGGGAGUGCAAGGGGUAGGCCGCGCUGGACUCGCCCACAGUCUCCUGCUCUUCCUGGGCCGACACUUGCAUCCUCCCCAGUGACCAUCACCACCGAGUCACAACGUGCCCCAGCAAGUAGCAGGCACACCUCCACGACGGGCUAACGACAGGACGGCUUUCCUCCUCCCUGGACAUCUGUGAACUAGGAUGUUCUGUUCUUCCCCCUUAGAGAGGAGACUAAGGCACGAGGCAGGCCAAUGUGCCCACCCAGCCACCAGGAGCCAGACACUUGUGUCGCUGAACGCCAGCCAUGAGCCAGAACAACAGGAGCCCUGCUUUGGCUGGUUUGUGCAGGUACAAUCCCAGGGUCUCUCCAAGAUGAGAGGGCAGAAGUCACAGAAGUCUGGGACCUGACAUACACCUGGACGCCCCUCUUGACUCCAUCACCAGCUGUGAUCUUGGACAAGUGACUGACCCCCAAGCCUUAGUACCGGGCACACAAUAAGUGCUCAAUAAACGUCCCAGGCUGGGAGUACAUCAGCACAUUGGAAGGUGGGAGUAAGCCCUCAAUGCAGGACUCCUCUCCCCAACAAAACGCUCUUCUAACUGCAUUUUGCCAGCUCCCAGGAAACCACCACCAUGGGGGCCUAGACAGCCUGGCACAUUCUAAGAACCCAGUCAUGGGAAGCUGCAGUCCUUGUUGCAGGAGAAUACAAUGGGGGGUGGGGGGUUGCAGUCACUACAGAGACAACAGGCAGCUUGUCCUCGGGCACACAGGCCAAGCAGGAACCUCUGACUCACAGUCCCAGUGUUUAGCCGGUUCCAAAGAUACAGCCACAUCUGGCCCCCACCUCUGAGGUCCUGAUGUUCUUCCUGGAGCUGAUGAUCAAGCAUAAAUGGAACUGGGGGUACCACACACAUCAGCGUGUGGUUAAGGGUCCCAACAGGUGACCUUCAGGAGAGCAUGAGGGAUCAGAGGAAGCAUAGAUAGAGAGACCAGGAGGAGGCAGGAGGGGAAAGGAGCUCAGAGCACACACAGGCCCAGGAGGCAGAAGGGUCUCAGAUUCCAUCCCAAGCUCUG
ensembl:lncRNA